rnacentral:rRNA from 1 species
UGGGGAAUAUUGGACAAUGGGGGAAACCCUGAUCCAGCGACGCCGCGUGUGUGAAGAAGGCCUGCGGGUUGUAAAGCACUUUCGGUGGGAACGAAAUAUGCCGGGCUAAUACCCCGGUAGGCUGACGUUACUCAAUGAAGAAGCACCGGCUAACUCUGUGCCAGCAGCCGCGGUAAUACAGAGGGUGCGAGCGUUAAUCGGAAUUACUGGGCGUAAAGCGCACGUAGGUGGCGACGUAAGUCGGGUGUGAAAGCCCCGGGCUCAACCUGGGAACCGCAUUCGAGACUGUGUUGCUGGAGUACGGAAGAGGAGGGCGGAAUUCCCGGUGUAG